GGCCAGGUGGCGCAACGGUAGCGCGUGUGCCCUUUGUAUACGUUGACCAAUGUAUGCUUGCGAGGUCUUCGUUUGAUUCGAAGUCUGGCCA